UUCUUAUUAUUAUUAAGUCGCCAAAACGGAGUUUUGGGGACUUAUUGUUUUUGUAUCGUUUCUUAUUAUUAUUAUUCUUAUUCUUCUCUUUCUGACCCCUUAAACUGUCCUACCAUUUUUUGGGAAGCAGUAGAGGAUGGAAACUUUAUAUUUUUUCUGGGUAUGGGUCUGCAUCAUGGGGGUUGCAGAACCCAAUGUCCGUGAUACCAGGGUGUCAUCUUGGCAUAAAUUAGGGGGCUCAAAGAUGGGUGGGGUCAAUUUUUUUUUACAUUUCUUAAAUUUCCUACUGUAUGUAGAGUAGAUGGAAUAAUGAUUACUUCUAUGAAUAUUAAGAGACACAUGUCUGCUUCAACAUGGAACUUUUUUUAUUUCAGUAGGGGGUCUCCUGGCAUAAUUUUAGGGGGGUGAAUUUUCAUGGAACAUUCCAGAACAUCAAAGUUAAAUUUAUUCUAGACACAUUUAAUGGUAUAUGAUGGUAUAUAAUUAUGGAGAGAACAAUUUGCAGCAGCACUUUGUCUGUGGAAUAUUCAAAAUGGCCGCCGUUACCAUGGAAACAGCAAAAAUAUGAAAAACUUCAAAAUGCUUCAAAUUUAAUGAAACUUAUAACUAAUGUUGACUAACUUGUGUAGAAUUGACUUUUGAGUUUGGAAUUUUCAAAAUGGCCGCCGUUACCAUGGAAACAGCAAAAAUAUGAAAAACUUCAAAAUGCUUCAAAUUUAAUGAAACUUAUAACUAAUGUUGACUAACUUGUGUAGAAUUGACUUUUGAGUUUGGAAUUUUCAAAAUGGCCGCCGUUACCAUGGAAACAGCAAAAAUAUUAAAAAAAUCAAAAUGCUUCAAAUUUAAUGAAACUUAUAACAAAUGUUGCCUAACUUGUGUAGACUUUAAUUUUGAGUUUGAAAUUUUCAAAAUGGCCGCCGUUGCCAUGGAAACAGCUAAAAUGUCCAAAAAAAAUUUAAUUCUUCAUAUUGAAUUAAACUUUACACACACAUUAUUUGGCAUCAAUGAUACCGCAGAACAAUGAUGUGGGGUCCGUUUUGGUGACUUUUGUGUUAGCAUCCUAACACAGGAUUACUUGUUAUUCUUAUUCUUCUCUUUCUGACCCCUUAAACUGUCCUACCAUUUUCUUUAAAGCAUUAGAGGAUGAAAACUUUAUAUUUAUUCUGGGUAUAGGUCUGCAUCAUGGGGGUUGCAGAACCCAAUGUCCGUGAUACCAGGGUGUCAUCUUGGCAUAAUUAGGGGGGCUCAAAGAUGGGUGGGGUCAUUUUUUUUUUACAUUUCCUAAAUUUUCUGCUGUAUAUAGAGUAGAUGGAACUAUAAUUUCUUUUAUGUAUAUUUAGAGACACAUGUCUGCUUCAAUAUGGAACUUAUUUUAUUUCAGUAGGGGUCUCCUUGGCAUAAUUUUAGGUGGGUGAAUUUUCAUAGAACAUUCCAGAACAUCAAUGUUAAAUUUAUUCUAGAGACAUUAAAUAGUAUAUGAUUGUAUAUAAUUAUGGAGGGAACACAUUACAGUGGGGGUUGGACUUUGGAAUAUUCAAAAUGGCCGCCGUAACCAUGGAAACAGCAAAAAUAUGAAAAACUUCAAAAUGCUUCAAAAUUAAUGAAACUUAUAACAAAUGUUGCUUAACUUAUGUAGACUAAACUUUUGAGUUUGGAAUUUUCAAAAUGGCCGCCGUUGCCAUGGAAACAGCAAAAAUGUCCAAAAAUUUUAAAA
rnacentral:lncRNA from 1 species